rnacentral:lncRNA from 1 species
AGAGCCGAGUCAAAUGUGCAGGAAGAUUCCCCCAAACUGAAAGAAGGUCAACAGCAAAUUUGAGGCAGUGGAUAUGAGGAUAGAGGAGACACUCCUGAAGACUUCACUUUCUCCAUUUCUGUACUUGAAUUUUUACACCAAGCAUACAGCUUGAAAAAAUUAAAUGAGUAUGCAGUAUUUUAAAAAUCAACAAAAGCUUCACAUUUUAAUUUUCACUUGAAAAAAAAACAUGAGUGGUACUCAGCAGAACAACAACUAUAUCGUAUAAGCUGCAUCAGAGACAAAUGAAGAUGAAAAAACUAUCCUCCUAUAUAACUAAUCUGUGCUGUGCCCCAACAAAGCCUGCUUUAAAUUUCCGUGCCAAUUACAACCCCCAUUCUGUAUCAGGCAAGGAAGACUCCUCUACCCUUGAUUCUGGAUUGGAAAGGUCACAAGGCUUAGAUUCCACAGGAGGAGGUGAAGACAUCUGCAGAGUCUGUACUGCGAGCUGAAGCUUUAUUUGCUUGUUGGAUCCCCAAAAGGUCCAAAUCCAGUCUGCACCAAACAGGAAGGCUUGGUGCUUGGUCAUCUUGGUGGUGGUCAGCCACUCAUCAACUCCCUUUUCUUGGCAGAAAGUGAUGAAAUGGAUUAAGAAGAUCUCAUUCAGAGUAUUUGCAGCUGGGCAGAGUUUACUUGGAGGAUAUUCAAAUCCAAGGUACUCCUUCAGUUUCUGAGCUGCAUGGACUAUAGCUUCACUGACCACCUCACAGACGACGGGCACCUCUUUGCUGUCCUUCAGAGCCAACUGUUGCGAUGCUUUCUGCCCCAUUUUCUCUGCAUCCAAAUAUCAAACAUGUGAAUCUGG